UCCUAAUAAUAAUGGAUGAAAGAGAAACAAUUAAAAAAAAGGGGAAAAAAGAAAACCGAAACUUGAUCACGAAGCAAUCUUCAAUUUCCUCAAAUAAAUACCAUUCCCACCUUUGGUAAGGAAACAACAAGAUCUGGGAAAAAAAAUGGAGAAGCAAGAAUGUGGAAAGCAACUCUUUCAGCUCCGGCGCCGGCACUGCCGGAGGGUUGCAUCGCCCAUGUUCUCGUCUUCACCACUCUUCGGAAUGCGUGUAGGAUGCCAGCGGUGUUGUCGGUAUUCCUUUUGGCAUCGGAGUCCAAAAUGGAGAAGCAAGAAUGUGGAAAGCAACUCUUUCAGCUCCGGCGCCGGCACUGCCGGAGGGUUGCAUCGCCCAUGUUCUCGCGUUCACCACUCUUCGGAAUGCGUGUAGGAUGCCAGCGGUGUUGUCGGUAUUCCUAUUGGCAUCGGAGUCCGGCGUCGUGUGGGAGAGGUUCCUGCCGUCCGAUUAUCCCAAUAUCCUAGGCCGAUCGUUGGAGUCUUCUUCUCAGCUCGAUUUCUCCUCCUCUCUUGAUCUACGAGGGCAAAAAGGUUAUGGUUAGAGAAGCAAAGAGGAAACAAAUGCUACAUGUUAGCUGCAAAGGGGCAAUAACCCUUAAUAUUGGAAGUGGUCUUCUCUACCAAAGUCUUGAUUUGUAGUAAGAUUAAGUAGUGAAAGUGAAAAAGUUUUGACUCAAAACAAUUUUUAUUUUCCUUUCUUGCAUCCAUGACUAUGUUUUGUUGACGAGGUAUGAUAGGAUAUGAUAUAUAUAUCCAAGGAUGUUAUAUCAAUGAGAUAUGAUAUUCUUUAAUACACAUCUUAUGGACAUGAUAUUUUAAAGUAGUAUAUACCAAUGAGAUAUGUUAUGUUAUAUUAUAUUUAUAUUUAAUUUGUAAAAUGAAUAAAAAUAAUAUGAAAUAUAUAUUAUUUUUAAUGUUUAAAAUAAAAAAUUAGGUUUGAUCUACAUGCAAGGCACAUGAAUAGCUAGCUAAUAGUGUAUUUUUUUUUGUAUUUAAAUUUGAUAUUAAUUGUAUCAUAAAAACUUAAUUUUCAUCUAUUUUAUGGUUGUAUUUGAAUAUAUUUUAUUUUAAAAUAUUUAUAUUUAUUAAAUGGUUAUAUUACUAGGUAAUAUCACUUCAUGUCAUGGUAACACCCCCUUCCGACCAGACAAAGUCUCCAAAAAAUACGUUAAUUUUUUACCCAAACAAGUUACAUGCCAAAGAUUAAGACUAAAGACUCUAGAAAAAAAAAAAAAAUUUGGGUUAAACAAGUUUUUGGCGUAAAAUCAAUUUUUAAAAUUAGAGUAUUUAGUCUUAACCCUUGUCAUGUAACCCGUUUUUGCCGAAAAACUAACAUGUUAGGGAGAUUUUAUUCGUUUAGAAGGGGGGGUGUUACCUUGACACGAAGCGAUGUUUUAAAAUCUUGAGUUUAUUAAGAGAAUUUUGAGAUAUUUGAUUUUCAAAAUGUGUAUUUAUAUGUAAUAAAUGCUUUUAUAUUGUAUAUUAGAAAAGUUUGCUUUGAAUAAAUUGUAUAAUAAAUACAUUCACGUAUGUUUUGGUUUAAAACUUUGAUUUUCAAAGAGAAAAUUCAAAGUUUCUACCAUUUGCCUGGUUUUGGUUUUAAAUUUUGAUUUUCAUGGUUUACACUAUGAUUUUCAAUGAGAAAAUUCAAAGUUUAAAACCAAAACCAGUGUGAACGUAUUUAUUAUACAAUUUAUUCAAAGUGAACCCUUUCAAUAUACAAUGUGAAAACAUUUAUUACAUAUAAAUACAUUUUUUGAAGAUUGAAUGUCUCAAAAUUCUUUGAAUAAACUCAAGAUUUUAAAACAUCACUUCAUGUCAAGGUAAUAUCCCCUUUCUGACCAAACAAAAUCUCUCUAACAUGCCAAUUUUCCAAUAAAAUAGAUUACAGGUUAAGGGUUAAAACUAAAUACUCUAGUUUUAAAGCUUGAUUUUAUACCAAAAACUUGUUUAAUAACUCAAUCUUUUUUUUAAAAAAAAAAUAUGUCAAAAACAUUAUAUCUAUAUAUAUAUAUAUAGGAUCUAUGUAUAUUGCAAAUAUUAAUUGGUAAAAAUAGAACUAUGAUUCAAAUAAUUUUCAUUUCCUCACUUUAUCUGUUUACCCUUUUUACUCCUUAAGGUAUUACAACUUGAAAUAGUAUUUAAUAACUAAUUUAGUCUUGAGUUGGUUCGAAUUGAAUUUCCUAUUAAUAGUUUGGUGAGCCUAGAUAAGGGCGUUUGAGGGUCAAAAGAGUGUGUAAGUCCCAUGUUGAUCCGCUUGUGGUGGUUCCUAUUCAAGAAAUUAUUUGAAUUGAUUAAGGAUAAGGUUAUGACUAUUUUCUAUGACACUGUAUGAUAUUAUAAAGAGAUUAAGUAGGUCUAGUUCUUCCAGAUCUUUUAGGUCUAAUGAUAGUUCUACAUCUUUAUCGGAUAAUUUUGCACACACAUCACUUACAUAAAAUAUUGUUAAUAAUCAAUAAAUUAAUAUAACACAAAUAGAAAAUUAAUUGCAUAAUUGGUCAAUUCCUCACAUGAAAAUUAAUACUAUAUAUCAACAAGGAAAUUUUGAAUUUAGUCAAAAUUAUUCAAUUAAAACUGAAGAAAAAACAAUCUCUAAAUCAAAAUUUAGAAAGUCUUCAUUUAUUAAGUCAAAACAUUAAUAAUCAUUAUAGAAAGAAAUUUAAUUAUAUUCAUAUAGAAUUAGUUCAAAUUGUCAUCAAACCCUUAUUUCACUUAAGUUUAGAUAUUCUUGUGUUUGUCUACCUAAGAGACGUUAGGUCAACAAAAUUUAUUAAUUAUAUCCUUAGCAUGAUUUGAUUCAAACCUUGCAUAUGGUCCAGUUUAUUUUAACUAUUUUUCAAACUUUUCCAUGAACAUAAAUGAUCCAAGUAUUUUGUCAAAAAGAAAAAUUUAUAUUUGGUUUACCAAUUUUCCCAUCAGUAGUUAAUUUUCUCAUCAGCAGUUUCAACAACGGUUUGUUAGUCAAGGUUCUUGAAAUCUCCGUUAGCUUUUUAUUGAAUUAAAGUGUGAACACAUUUAUUGCUAGCAUUAAAAUAAUAUAAACAUUCCCAUAUACUUAAUAUUUUAAUAUAAAAUUUACAAACAUUUAUUAAAAUAAUAUAAAAGUUUCAAACACUUAUUAAAAUAACAUAAAAGGUUUCAGACAUUUUGGAAAACUUAAUAUUUUAAUAUAAAAUUUUUUCAAACACUUAUUAAAAUAACAUAAAAGGUUUCAGACAUUUAUUAUUUUAAUAUAUUAUUAACUUAAGGUUCUGUGCUUAUAGUAAAAGUUUUUUAACGUAAUAAAAUUAAGUUUUUGAAAUCUUGAACGUAUAAAAAUUAAGUUUUUGAAAUCGGAUAUCUCAAAAAUUCAGGUAAUAAAAUUCAAAAAUUUUAAAACAUCACUUCGUGUCAAGGUAAUACCCCCUUCUGACUAGACAGAGUCUCCCUAGAAUGCCAAUUUUUCGACAAAAACGGGUUUGAGGUCAAGGGUUAAGACCAAAGACUCUAAUUUUAAAACAUGAUUUUACACCCAAAAUUUUCUAAAUAACCUGAUUUUUUUUUUUUUUUUUUUUUUUUUUUUUUUUUUUUUUUUUUUUUUUUUUUUUUUAGGA